GGGUCACGGUGGGGUCGAAGGUCGCGGGGUCAGGAGGGGUCGAAGGUCAUGGGAUCGGGAGGGGUCAAAGGUCGUGGGGUCAAAGGCUGUGGGGUCAAAGGUUGUGGGGUCAGGGUGGGGUUGAAGGUUGUGGGGUCAGGAAGGGUCGAAGGUCAUGGGAUCGGGAGGGGUCAAAGGUCGUGGGGUCAGGAUGAGGUCAAAGGUUGUGGGGUCGGGAUGGGCUCAAAGGUCAUGGGGUCAAGGGAGGGAUCAAAGGUCGCGAGUCUGGGGGUCAAAGGUCAAAGGGUCAGGGAUCAGAGGUCACAGGAUGUGAAGGGGUCAAAGGUCGUGGGGUCAGGGUGGGGUCAGAGGUCACCGGGUCAGGAGGAGGUCAGAAGUCAAGGGGUCAAUGGGGAAACUUUGGGGGUCAAGGGGAACUGAAUGGGAAUUCAAUGGGAACUCAGGAACAUUGGGGACUUUUGGGGACAUUGGGGUCCAUUUAGGGUCCUUUUGGGGCCAUUAGGGUCCAUUUACGGUCCUUUUAGGGUCAUUAGGGUCCAUUAGGGUCCAUAUAGGGCCGUCAGGGCCAUAUAGGGUCCAUUGGGGCUCAUUAGGGUCCAUUUAGGGUCCUUUUGGGGUCAUUAGGGUCCAUUAGGGUCCAUUAGGGUCCAUUAGGGUCCAUUUGGGGUCAUUAGGGUCCAUUUGGGUCCAUUUAGGGUCAUUAGGGUCCACUAGGGUCCAUUAGGGCCAUAUAGGGUCCAUUUAGGUUCCUUUUGGGGUCAUUAGAGUCCAUUAGAGUCCAUUAGGGUCAUUAGGGUCCAUUAGGGUCCUUUUGGGGUCAUUAAGGUCCAUUAGGGUCCAUUUAGGGUCCUUUUGGGGCCAUUAGGGUCCUUUUGGGGUCAUUAGGGUCCAUUGGGGU
rnacentral:lncRNA from 1 species